rnacentral:rRNA from 1 species
CUUUUAUGGAGAGUUUGAUCCUGGCUCAGGACGAACGCUGGCGGCGUGCCUAAUACAUGCAAGUCGAGCGGAUCUUGCCUUCGGGUAAGGUUAGCGGCGGACGGGUGAGUAACACGUAGGCAACCUGCCUGUAAGACCGGGAUAACAUUCGGAAACGAAUGCUAAUACCGGAUACGCAACUUGACUGCAUGGUCGAGUUGGGAAAGACGGUGCAAGCUGUCACUUACAGAUGGGCCUGCGGUGCAUUAGCUAGUUGGUGAGGUAACGGCUCACCAAGGCGACGAUGCAUAGCCGACCUGAGAGGGUGAUCGGCCACACUGGGACUGAGACACG